ACUUUCAGUUUCGAAAAUAAUGCUUUAGAGAUGUGUGUGGAUUACACAUGAAAGAUGUGUAAGAUCUAAUAUAUCUCUAAAGUAUUCGAUCAAUUAUCGAUCGUUGUAUGCUGAUCAAUUAUCUUUUGCAAUGUACCGCGCCUGCUAGAAUUUACAAAAUGUACGCACUAGUUUUGUUUUCGAGGGUUUUUACGGAUUAGCUGUUUCUUUAAAAGAUGAUACGAAACUAUUUCUGGCUGCCGUUUGUGGAGCCGUCUACCUUACUACUUCGGAGCCUUAUACUUGUUACGGCGAUAUAUGCAAUGUUUCUGGAAAAUAUCAGUACUGUGAUGUGACGUACAAACUCUGUCGAUAUUGUGCUGACGUGCAGGAUGACUGCUUUACAAGACUUCAAUCUUACAACUGCACAAGCUAUUGCUAUGAGCGACGUAGAAACCAAGAUCUUGAAAGAUCACGUGUUUCGGACUGUACGGUUCCCCACGUACCAGAGAAUGGACGCUAUGAUGUCAAAUCAUCCCAGGUGCCUUUUGGUUUCAAGUUAAAUGUCAUUUGUGACGAUGGCUACACAUUAAGUGUAUCUGAGCCAAUGAGAUGUGGCAAUUUCUCGACGUGGUUCGGACUCAAGCCUCUCUGUCAAGGUGCGUCGCAGGACAUGUCAACAGUUUGGAAAAGUAUGUUGAUAGCGUUUGGCUUGUUGUUAGGCGUAUCCGUGAUGGUGAACAUCAUUGUUGGAGUUUGUCGCUUUCUCAAAUAACUUGACUCGGACCACCAUUUAACGGUAUCGGGUGACCUUGACCAGCGUUGUCUGGUUUCAAACGAUCAGGAACCUGACCGAGAGAGAUGUAAAACUGUGCAUAUAACGGUCAACACGCCACUGUUGUAAGAUAAAAUGCAUACAAUGUCAAUACGGAAAAUUGAAUAUGGUCGCUUUUUACCCGAUGAACCUCGUGCAAAAAGUAGAGUGUUGUGAAAGAUAUAUGAAGGAAUAGUGGAUAAUCAUUUAAAACAAAAACUGAGGAGGAGAAAGUUAGUUAAUUGUGAUGACAAAAGAGGAAAAUGACGUUCUCCUCCCUAUAAAGACGGAUGGUCGGUUCAAAGACCAUUUUAUUUCCACACGAUGUCUGAAGAAUGCUAAGACCCAACUUGGAAAUCAAAACAGAUGUCUAAGGAUGUUGAGGUCAACAGUUCAUAGGGCCUUGUAAAAUGAUAUUUAAUAGGAACAAUAGUCAUUUUCAAUUUCGUAAAAAAAACUUACACAUAUCAAAAGAAGACGUUUAAGUCUGAUAAAACACCAUAUACAUCAUUUAUAUAUUAUUCGAUAGAUAAUGGUACUGACAGCACAACAAAAUGAGUUCUACUAUCUAAAUGAAAUUCUGUCAGACAGAGUACUUACAAACAAAACCUUACAUACAUUAUUUACAGAUGUCAGUUUGUAUGUGAAUUGAGAUUGCGUACUAUGAUAACUAACUAGUACAUGUAAUUGGAACUUUGCCAGGUAGAAAUAAUCAUAUCUAUGGAAAGAGGCAAAGUCAUUCUGUGAAUUAUUAUGGUGAAACAAAUCUCGUAAAAGCGAAUAUGCUAUCCAAAUAUAUUUUAGUAAAUGUGAAUAGCUUUAAAUGUGCAUUUAUAAUACGUGUUUAUGAUUUUACAUAAAUAUAUGUUGUUAUAGUGCAUACUGUUAUAGUUUGCUGCAUGAUGUGCGGACGUCUCAAGCCAGCCAAUCAGGCCGGUAUGCACAAUCUCAAGCACGCGGACAGCAUAAAAAAUGUUAUCUGCACUUUAUUGAAACUUUAAAUUACACAUGUUGGCUUCUACUUAGGUGAACGAACUGUUAACAUCCGUUUCAAAUGCACAAACAUCUAUACCUUACGGAAAUAAUUAUUAACGUGUUUAUAAUUGCUUAUUUUAACUAUGGAAAUGUUGUGUAUUAAUGUUAUAUACAUUGUAAAAGUUGUCAAUCUAUAACAUGCUUCAUCUGUGACCUCUUUAAGUGUCAUGAACUGUUACUAAUGAGUAAUAGAUCUACAUUAUUUCAGGAAACAAGAUAUGCAUUAAAACGGAAUUAAAUUGAAAAAGUACGCACAUACAGUGAUUUUAUUAUGUUUGAUUGAACUUUUACACUAACAAAAACACUAUUGACAACUUUCUUUUUAUACACAUGGUUUGAAUAAUUUAAAUUAUUUAUGGUGCUUCCAUGAUUACCAAGAGACUUGUAAUAAUGUGUUCUUAUUCUUGUGAAGUAUUAAUAUCUAAGCAAAAAACACAUGUUAUUGAUUUAUCCCUGUAUUUGUAUAUUGAUUUAAAAAAAUCUUUACUUAUUUUAUCGCCAUGAACAUAAAU